UGCCUGCGGGUUAGAAUGUCAGAUUGUGAGAGAGAUAGUCAGACCAAAGAACAUGUAUUUCUCAAUACCACUACUUCUCGGCUCUAUACUCCCAGCUCCAAGUUAUCACUCUCUCAAUCUGAAAGACAAAUAAGUCCUGGUACAAAGCUGCCGUAGUAUCCACCUUCAUGGCCAACGACAACUUGAUGUGGACCUUGAAAUCGAAAAGAAAACGGACAUGAACACUGUAAAGAGGUGCUGCAGUUCAAGGCCGACCUGUGUAUACAUGUUCCUCCGUCUGUCUUCUUUUAUACAGACUUGGCUGUUAUCCUGGAGCCCCAAGGAACCGCUGUCUGGUCUGCUCCCUUUGAUGCCGAGGGCAGGACCAUAAUUGACGUGCCAUCUAGUUCCUGGCUCCCACAUCCUGCACUGUCGAUGCAGGGACACGUGGCCUACAGCUGUGGAUUUCAUCAUGCAAGGGACUUGGGUGAGCUGAGGGAUGUGAACCACUUGACAAUGGGGGAUGAUGAAAUAAUGGAGAUUUGAG